rnacentral:rRNA from 1 species
UACGUAGGGCGCAAGCGUUAUCCGGAAUUAUUGGGCGUAAAGAGCUCGUAGGCGGUUUGUCGCGUCUGCCGUGAAAGUCCGGGGCUCAACUCCGGAUCUGCGGUGGGUACGGGCAGACUAGAGUGAUGUAGGGGAGACUGGAAUUCCUGGUGUAGCGGUGGAAUGCGCAGAUAUCAGGAGGAACACCGGUGGCGAAGGCGGGUCUCUGGGCCAAUACUGACGCUGAGGAGCGAAAGCGUGGGGAGCGAACAGG